rnacentral:rRNA from 1 species
AGCGAACUUGGCAGAGAUGCCUUGGUGCCUUCGGGAACGCUGAGACAGGUGCUGCAUGGCUGUCGUCAGCUCGUGUUGUGAAAUGUUGGGUUAAGUCCCGNAACGAGCGCAACCCUUAUCCUUUGUUGCCAGCGAUUCGGUCGGGAACUCAAAGGAGACUGCCGGUGAUAAACCGGGAGGAAGGUGGGGAUGACGUCAAGUCAUCAUGGCCCUUACGAGUAGGGCUACACACGUGCUACAAUGGCGCAUACAAAGAGAAGCGACCUCGCGAGAGCAAGCGGACCUCAUAAAGUGCGUCGUAGUCCGGAUCGGAGUCUGCAACUCGACUCCGUGAAGUCGGAAUCGCUAGUAAUCGUGGAUCAGAAUGCCACGGUGAAUACGUUCCCGGGCCUUGUACACACCGCCCGUCACACCAUGGGAGUGGGUUGCAAAAGAAGUAGGUAGCUUAACCUUCGGGAGGGCGCUUACCACUUUGUGAUUCAUGACUGGGGUGAAGUCGUAACAAGGUAAGCGUAGCGAG